AACACCCCACAUUCAUUCAUUUGAGUGGAACUGAGAGUUCACGGUCUUUUUUUUUCAGACUGUACUCUUUAAAAUUAUUAGGCCUGAAAAUUGGAUUGUCUUUUUGCCUGAACAUUUUUUUAAUAUAAAGGAAUGCUCUUGUUUACAAACAACAUCUUUCUCUGGGGCCUCCCAGAUAAAAUCUAUUCUUAA
rnacentral:misc_RNA from 1 species